AGUGUAGUUAAUAGCUGCAUUAUUUGACGUUAGCGACAGAAGAAGCACCGGCUAACUCCGUGCCAGCAGCCGCGGUAAUACGGAGGGUGCGAGCGUUAAUCGGAAUUACUGGGCGUAAAGCGCAUGCAGGUGGUUUGUUAAGUCAGAUGUGUAAGCCCGGGGCUCAACCUCGGAAUAGCAUUUGAAACUGGCAGACUAGAGUACUGUAGAGGGGGGUAGAAUUUCA
rnacentral:rRNA from 1 species